rnacentral:rRNA from 1 species
AUUGAACGCUGGCGGCAUGCCUUACACAUGCAAGUCGAACGGUAACGCGGGGCAACCUGGCGACGAGUGGCGAACGGGUGAGUAAUGCAUCGGAACGUGCCCAGUAGUGGGGGAUAGCCCGGCGAAAGCCGGAUUAAUACCGCAUACGACCUAAGGGUGAAAGGGGGGGAUCGCAAGACCUCUCGCGAUUGGAGCGGCCGAUGUCAGAUUAGGUAGUUGGUGGGGUAAAGGCCUACCAAGCCGACGAUCUGUAGCUGGUCUGAGAGGACGACCAGCCACACUGGGACUGAGACACGGCCCAGACUCCUACGGGAGGCAGCAGUGGGGAAUUUUGGACAAUGGACGCAAGUCUGAUCCAGCCAUGCCGCGUGCGGGAAGAAGGCCUUCGGGUUGUAAACCGCUUUUGUCAGGGAAGAAAUCUUCUGGGCUAAUACCUCGGGAGGAUGACGGUACCUGAAGAAUAAGCACCGGCUAACUACGUGCCAGCAGCCGCCGUAA